rnacentral:rRNA from 1 species
UACGUAGGGGGCUAGCGUUGUCCGGAAUCAUUGGGCGUAAAGAGCGUGUAGGCGGCCCGGUAAGUCCGCUGUGAAAGUCGGGGGCUCAACCCUCGAAAGCCGGUGGAUACUGUCGGACUAGAGUGCGGAAGAGGCGAGUGGAAUUCCUGGUGUAGCGGUGAAAUGCGCAGAUAUCAGGAGGAACACCAAUUGCGAAGGCAGCUCGCUGGGACGUUACUGACGCUGAGACGCGAAAGCGUGGGGAGCAAACAGG